rnacentral:rRNA from 1 species
AGCUCCAAUAGCGUAUAUUAAAGUUGUUGCAGUUAAAAAGCUCGUAGUUGGAUUUCGGGGCAGCCUGGCUGGUCCGCCGCAAGGCGAGUACUGGUCAGCCGCCCUUCCUCUCGAAAGCCCCGACUGCUCUUCAUUGCAGUGGUCGGGUAGUUCGGGACGUUUACUUUGAAAAAAUUAGAGUGUUCAAGGCAGGCCUACGCCUGAAUACAUUAGCAUGGAAUAAUGGAAGAGGACCUCGGUCCUAUUUUGUUGGUUUCCAGGGCCGAAGUAAUGAUUAAGAGGGACAGUUGGGGGCAUUCGUAUUUAAUUGUCAGAGGUGAAAUUCUCGGAUUUAUGAAAGACGAACAACUGCGAAAGCAUUUGCCAAGGAUGUUUUCA